GACUCAAACCCCAGAACUACGUAGCCAGCGUAGGAUGGAGGCUAUGCCUCUUAAGUCCCAAAAAGAGGACUUUGAUGAAUGGAUCCAAGAUGGUGAUGUCCUUUACCCUGGCAACGUAUUGGAUGGAUGUGGCAACGACAUCGCUUCGUUGUAUCAUCGCUAGCUCAUAAGUGAUGGUUGUCGGUUAGAGAAACUCCCAACUGAAUACAGGUGUUAGAGAUCCUCAACAGGUGCAUCGUUGAAGAUCAUUUCUUUUCAGCUAUUUGGUGAGUCCUUCUUGUAUUCGAAGGAACUCCUUAUCCUUUUAUUAUUGUUGAGUGUGAUGUUUCUUUUGAGGUAGCCAUGGACAUGUCAUUGGCACCAUCUAAGAGUAUUAGAGGCUUCAUAGACAGAGUCUGAUGAUGUAAUCGGAGUAGUUCUCCUUAGAAACUACUUCUUCUAAUAAUUAUCUAUUUUUCCUUU